UGAUACAUUGCGGGAGCCAGUCGUGCCACAUCCGAGGCCAGGGAAUCCGGUGGGAAUCCGGAACUGACGCGCAGCGGUGAGGGGGACGGGCGGGGCACUCGACGCCACUGGGGCGGCGCGGGCCGGCCGGACGGCCGGCGCACGACGUCCUGGGAAGGCGCUCCGUCCGGGCGAACCCGAGUCCGAAGACCUGCUGGCGCCUUCCCGCCAUGG
rnacentral:ncRNA from 18 species